UACGGGGGGGGCAAGCGUUGUUCGGAAUUACUGGGCGUAAAGGGCUCGUAGGCGGCCAACUAAGUCAGACGUGAAAUCCCUCGGCUUAACCGGGGAACUGCGUCUGAUACUGGAUGGCUCGAGUUUGGGAGAGGGAUGCGGAAUUCCAGGUGUAGCGGUGAAAUGCGUAGAUAUCUGGAGGAACACCGGUGGCGAAGGCGGCAUCCUGGACCAACACUGACGCUGAUGAGCGAAAGCCAGGGAGCAAACGGG
rnacentral:rRNA from 1 species